rnacentral:rRNA from 1 species
GAUUCAUGAUAACUCCUCGAAUCGCAUGGCCUUGUGCCGGCGAUGGUUCAUUCAAAUUUCUUCCCUAUCAACUUUCGAUGUUUGGGUAUUGGCCAAACAUGGUUGCAACGGGUAACGGAGGGUUAGGGCUCGACCCCGGAGAAGGAGCCUGAGAAACGGCUACUACAUCCAAGGAAGGCAGCAGGCGCGCAAAUUACCCAAUCCCGACACGGGGAGGUAGUGACAAUAAAUACUGAUACAGGGCUCUUUUGGGUCUUGUAAUUGGAAUGAGUACAAUUUAAAUCCCUUAACGAGGAACAAUUGGAGGGCAAGUCUGGUGCCAGCAGCCGCGGUAAUUCCAGCUCCAAUAGCGUAUAUUAAAGUUGUUGUGGUUAAAAAGCUCGUAGUUGAACCUUGGGCCUGGCCGUCCGGUCCGCCUCACCGCGUGUACUGGCUCGGCCGGGCCUUUCCCUCUGUGGAACCCCAUGCCCUUCACUGGGCGUGGCGGGGGAACCAGGACUUUUAC